AUUAGCUAGUUGGUGAGGUAAUGGCUCACCAAGGCGACGAUCCCUAGCUGGUCUGAGAGGAUGAUCAGCCACACUGGAACUGAGACACGGUCCAGACUCCUACGGGAGGCAGCAGUGGGGAAUAUUGCACAAUGGGCGCAAGCCUGAUGCAGCCAUGCCGCGUGUGUGAAGAAGGCCUUCGGGUUGUAAAGCACUUUCAGUCGUGAGGAAGGUGGUUUUGUUAAUAGCUCAUAUAUUUGACGUUAGCGACAGAAGAAGCACCGGCUAACUCCGUGCCAGCAGCCGCGGUAAUACGGAGGGUGCGAGCGUUAAUCGGAAUUACUGGGCGUAAAGCGCAUGCAGGUGGUUUGUUAAGUCAGAUGUGAAAGCCCGGGGCUCAACCUCGGAAUAGCAUUUGAAACUGGCAGACUAGAGUACUGUAGAGGGGGGUAGAAUUUCAGGUGUAGCGGUGAAAUGCGUAGAGAUCUGAAGGAAUACCGGUGGCGAAGGCGGCCCCCUGGACAGAUACUGACACUCAGAUGCGAAAGCGUGGGGAGCAAACAGGAUUAGAUACCC
rnacentral:rRNA from 1 species